CGGACGGGUGAGUAACACGUGGAUAACCUACCUAUAAGACUGGGAUAACUUCGGGGAACCGGAGCUAAUACCGGAUAAUAUUUUGAACCGCAUGGUUCAAAAGUGAAAGACGGUCUUGCUGUCACUUAUAGAUGGAUCCGCGCUGCAUUAGCUAGUUGGUAAGGUAACGGCUUACCAAGGCAACGAUGCAUAGCCGACCUGAGAGGGUGAUCGGCCACACUGGAACUGAGACACGGUCCAG
rnacentral:rRNA from 1 species